rnacentral:piRNA from 1 species
AAUGAAGAUAGUGACUCAAAGACAUCUGUG